UACGUAGGUGACAAGCGUUGUCCGGAUUUAUUGGGUUUAAAGGGUGCGUAGGCGGCCCUGUAAGUCAGUGCUGAAAUAUCCCGGCUUAACCGGGAGGGUGGCAUUGAUACUGCGGGGCUAGAGUACAGAUGAGGUAGGCGGAAUUGACGGUGUAGCGGUGAAAUGCUUAGAUAUCGUCAAGAACACCUAUAGCGAAGGCAGCUUACUAGGCUGUAACUGACGCUGAGGCACGAAAGUGUGGGGAUCAAACAGG
rnacentral:rRNA from 1 species